AGCUUUAUAUUCAAAAAUGAUAUAAAAUUGCAAAUUUUAAGGAACAAUAAAAAUAAAAUAAUUGUUAAGGCUU
rnacentral:tRNA from 1 species